rnacentral:lncRNA from 1 species
GAUUUUUUAUAUAAGUGCUUUUACAAUAUUAUAGUUUUCUUAGUUAGAUGAUAUCAAAAUGCGAAAUAGUGGUCAAAUAAGAGUACAAAUCAAAUAACGAAUAAGUCAGUCAUGUAUUAUAUUUAGAUAUGGAUCGAGAUAGUACUUGUCUAGUGCUUUGGUCCAUGGAAAAAGGGCUGCAAAAACUACACAUUUAUAGCACAUACGUAUAUCUCCGUGCAACCAUAUGUUGAGGUAUGAGAAUAUGAGAUAUAUAUGAGGAGGAUGGGUCAACACGUUAGAAGCAACAAGAUAUGCAUGUACUGUACAAAGAUUGACAGUUUUGUUUCUUUCGAUCAACAGAACACAAGACUCACAAGACAGGGAUCUAUAUAUAUAACACUGUUUCUCUAUUAUAAGAUUUUGGUUUUUGCUAGAUUCAUUUGUAAUAAAUUAUAAACCACCG